CUCGGGCCUCAGGACGUGGGAGGCCUUUCCCCCACAGCCGCUCCCUCAACACUCCCAGUCCUCCACUUCACUGCAGUGGUGAUCUAGGGAGCACGCCACACAUGGACCUGCGGCACUGCACUUUACAGUUUAUGAAGCAUUUCCACUGAUGGGAUCCCCUUCGCUCCUGGUCAUGCCCAGCAAGGAGAAGAUCAGUCAUCUACAGCUGCAUGACAAACCGCCCACCUCAGCGGCGUAGCAUCGUUUAUGGCCGUUUUCUCUUCUGGUGUCUGGGAGCUGACUGGGCUCAGCCGGGCUGCUCGCUGUCAGGGUCUCUCAUGAGGCUGCAGUCAAUGGCUGGUGCAGCAGUCAUCUCAAAGCUUGCCUCACUCAGAUGGCCAGCAAUUAAUGCAGGCAGUCAGCUAACCCCUCACCUGGACCAUCG
rnacentral:lncRNA from 1 species